rnacentral:misc_RNA from 1 species
UUAAGUUCAGCGGGUAGUCUUGCCUGAUUUGAGAUCACUGGGAUGAGGGGAUUGGUCGAUGAAACAGAAUUGCUUCCACCUCUCACGAACAACCCGUGCCUGAAUUCAAGACGAUCAGUGAUGAAGGUCCAUGUCUCGACCAACUGGGACCAACAACCAAGUGGAUGCGUGACCCGGUUAGAUCAAAGGGAUGAAUGAUU